rnacentral:lncRNA from 1 species
GUCCUUUCGUAAAAAUGCUCUUCCAAAAAAAUCUAAAUGUAAAAAAUUUAAAUGCAUUUGACAUCAAAUUUGAUUCACUAUAUAUAAACCACCCUUAAUUAAAGGUUGGUUUACACUAUCAAUGUGUCUGUGAUCAUGCACCGAGUAAGUUCCCUCAAACAUUCCUUACAAAUCCUUUAAAACGCAGAAUUUAUCAAUGCAAAAUUCCUACUGUGAUCACAGAAACUUUGAUAGUGUAAACCAGCCUUAAAACUGUAUUGAAGUCUUAUUUUUCAAAUCAUCGUGACGAUGGUCGUG